GGAGUCUGGGCCGUGUCUCAGUCCCAGUGUGGCCGAUCACCCUCUCAGGUCGGCUAUGUAUCGUCGCCUUGGUGAGCCGUUACCUCACCAACUAGCUAAUACAACGCAGGUCCAUCUACUAGUGAAGCAAUUGCUCCUUUCAAGCAUCUAACAUGGGUUAAAUGCUGUUAUGCGGUAUUAGCUAUCGUUUCCAAUAGUUAUCCCCCGCUAGUAGGCAGGUUACCUACGCGUUACUCACCCGUUCGCCGCUAGGUAUUGCUACCUCGCUCGACUUGCAUGUAUAAGACACGCCACCAGCGUUCGUU
rnacentral:rRNA from 1 species